UACGAAGGGUGCUAGCGUUGUUCGGAAUUACUGGGCGUAAAGAGCGCGUAGGCGGUUAUACAAGUCAGGGGUGAAAUCCCGGAGCUUAACUCCGGAACUGCCUUUGAAACUGUAUAGCUGGAGUGUGUGAGGGGAUAGCGGAAUUCCUAAUGUAGAGGUGAAAUUCGUAGAUAUUAGGAGGAACACCGGUGGCGAAGGCGGCUAUCUGGCGCACAACUGACGCUGAGGCGCGAAAGCGUGGGGAGCGAACAGG
rnacentral:rRNA from 1 species